UAGAGUUUGAUCAUGGCUCAGGAUGAACGCUAGCGACAGGCUUAACACAUGCAAGUCGAGGGGCAGCGGGGAGGUAGCAAUACUUCCGCCGGCGACCGGCGCACGGGUGAGUAACACGUAUGGAACCUGCCCGUAGCAGGGGGAUAAGCGGAAGAAAUUCCGUCUAAUACCGCGUAAUAACUCCGAGAGGCAUCUCAUGGAGUUUAAAGGGUAACACCGGCUACGGAUGGCCAUGCGGCGCAUUAGCUAGUUGGCGGGGUAACGGCCCACCAAGGCGACGAUGCGUAGGGGUUCUGAGAGGAAGGUCCCCCACACUGGUACUGAGACACGGACCAGACUCCUACGGGAGGCAGCAGUGAGGAAUAUUGGUCAAUGGGCGCGAGCCUGAACCAGCCAAGUCGCGUGAGGGAAGACGGUCCUAUGGAUUGUAAACCUCUUUUGUCGGGGAGCAAAAGACGCCACGUGUGGCGUUCCGAGAGUACCCGAAGAAAAAGCAUCGGCUAACUCCGUGCCAGCAGCCGCGGUAAUACGGAGGAUGCGAGCGUUAUCCGGAUUUAUUGGGUUUAAAGGGUGCGCAGGCGGAAGAUCAAGUCAGCGGUAAAAUUGAGAGGCUCAACCUCUUCGAGCCGUUGAAACUGGUUUUCUUGAGUGAGCGAGAAGUAUGCGGAAUGCGUGGUGUAGCGGUGAAAUGCAUAGAUAUCACGCAGAACUCCGAUUGCGAAGGCAGCAUACCGGCGCUCAACUGACGCUCAUGCACGAAAGUGUGGGUAUCGAACAGGAUUAGAUACCUUGGUAGUCCACACAGUAAACGAUGAAUACUAAUUGUUCGGGGAGAAUGAUCCCUGAGUGAUACAGCGAAAGCGUUAAGUAUUCCACCUGGGGAGUACGCCGGCAACGGUGAAACUCAAAGGAAUUGACGGGGGCCCGCACAAGCGGAGGAACAUGUGGUUUAAUUCGAUGAUACGCGAGGAACCUUACCCGGGCUCAAACGCAGGCUGACGGGUCCCGAAAGGGGCCUUUCUUCGGACAUUCUGCGAGGUGCUGCAUGGUUGUCGUCAGCUCGUGCCGUGAGGUGUCGGCUUAAGUGCCAUAACGAGCGCAACCCCUGUCCACAGUUGCCAGCAGGUAAAGCUGGGGACUCUGUGGAGACUGCCGGCGCAAGCUGCGAGGAAGGCGGGGAUGACGUCAAAUCAGCACGGCCCUUACGUCCGGGGCGACACACGUGUUACAAUGGCAGGUACAGCGGGAUGCCACGGGGCGACCCGGCGCUGAACCCGAAAACCUGUCUCAGUUCGGAUUGGAGUCUGCAACCCGACUCCAUGAAGCUGGAUUCGCUAGUAAUCGCGCAUCAGCCACGGCGCGGUGAAUACGUUCCCGGGCCUUGUACACACCGCCCGUCAAGCCAUGGAAGCCGGGGGUACCUGAAGUGCGUGACCGCGAGGAGCGCCCUAGGGUAAAACCGGUGACUGGGGCUAAGUCGUAACAAGGUAACCGUAA
rnacentral:rRNA from 1 species